rnacentral:tmRNA from 2 species
GGGGCUGUAUAGCUUUCGACAGUGGACUUUGAUAACUACUUGGUCGCAUACCGUUAGUGGUGUCGUAACGCAAAAUCACACCAAACUACAAAUGCCAACAAAGCAUUUAGCGAAAGCUUUGCUUUCGCGCCAGCACUGGCCUAAUUGCUAGUGCCAUCGCUCCCACCUCUGCUCGGAUGGGUGGAAUAGCGGUGUUAUAUUAUUCGAGCCGCUUUCUACUCGGCCAUUGGGUAGAACUAAGAUAAUAGUGGCUUAAGUUGUUAUUGCUUUGUCGGUUUGAGGAUAACAAUGGAUACCCAACAAAUCGACUAUGUAUGUAGAAGCUAGUAGAUAUCGUUCGCUGGACGGGGGUGCGAAUCCCCCCAGCUCCACCA